rnacentral:rRNA from 1 species
GAUGAACGCUGACAGAAUGCUUAACACAUGCAAGUCAACUUGAACUUCGGUUUGGGUGGCGGACGGGUGAGUAACGCGUAAAGAACUUGCCUCACAGAUAGGGACAACAUUUGGAAACGAAUGCUAAUACCUGAUAUUAUGAUUAUAUGGCAUCGUAUAAUUAUGAAAGCUAUAUGCGCUGUGAGAGAGCUUUGCGUCCCAUUAGCUAGUUGGAGAGGUAACGGCUCACCAAGGCGAUGAUGGGUAGCCGGCCUGAGAGGGUGAUCGGCCACAAGGGGACUGAGACACGGCCCUUACUCCUACGGGAGGCAGCAGUGGGGAAUAUUGGACAAGGGACCAAGAGUCUGAUCCAGCAAUUCUGUGUGCACGAUGAAGUUUUUCGGAAUGUAAAGUGCUUUCAGUUGGGAAGAAAAAAAUGACGGUACCAACAGAAGAAGGGACGGCUAAAUACGUG